rnacentral:misc_RNA from 1 species
GUAGGUGAACCUGCGGAGGGAUCAUUAACACGUGCCAAAACACGUUUUAAACCAAUCGCUCUGUGAACACAAACCCAACUCCCUUCACAUAUGGACGAUCGAACAACCAUCAGGGUGGAGAGCAAGUGCAUACGGACAAUCGGCUCCUCGGAGACGACUCGGUAUGUCUUGCGACUAUGGCUCGGUCUAGGGCUCCUUGAGAGUCCAAUCCUGUGUGAAGUGUUGCGCGACCACCUGGCAGUGUGCCGUU